AGUGAACGCUGGCGGCAGGCCUAACACAUGCAAGUCGAACGGCAGCACAGUAAGAGCUUGCUCUUACGGGUGGCGAGUGGCGGACGGGUGAGGAGUACAUCGGAAUCUACUUUUUCGUGGGGGAUAACGUAGGGAAACUUACGCUAAUACAGCAUACGACCUACGGGGGUAAGCAGGGGAUCUUCGGACCUUUCGCGUAUGAACUAGCCGAUGUCGGAGUAGCUAGUUGGCGGGGUAAAGGCCCACCAAGGCGACGAUCCGUAGCUGGUCUGAGAGGCUGAUCAGCCACACUGGAACGGAGACACAGUCCAGACUCCUACGGGAGGCAGCAGUGGGGAAUAUUGGGCAAUGGGCGCAAGCCUGAUACAGCCAUACCGCGUGGGUGAAGAAGGCCUUCGGGUCGUAAAGCCCUUUUGUUGGGAAAGAAAAGCAGCCGAUUAAUACCCGGCUGUUGUGACGGUACCGAAAGAAUAAGCACCGGCUAACUUCGUG
rnacentral:rRNA from 1 species